rnacentral:sRNA from 1 species
UGUUGUUGUUCUUCUUCCUUGCGACUGUUAACUAU